rnacentral:lncRNA from 7 species
GAGAGGCGAUGCCAGGCAGGCGACGGUCUGAGAGGAGAACUGAGGCGCGAGUGCAGCUGUGGUGUACUGCAUACAAUGUCCAAGGAAGUACAGGAGGGAAAAGCUCCAUGCUUUCAGUGAAAAUGCAUUAUAGAAGUCCAUGGACACCAGCUGCGUGGUCUCCAGACGAACUUGCAGUUGCAAGAUGAGGUCAAAAAUGUCUAGUAACCUCUGGUACAAGCAUCCUUUGUGACUUAAAAUCAAUGAAGUACUGGAAAUAACAAAAAUGUCCCUUGCCUCAAUCCCUUUCUAUCAGGUACUGAAGAUUUAAUACAGACUUAUGGGGAAAUAAAACCAGACGUUGUAAAGUUUGAAUAGUGAAAAAGAAACAUCACACAAACAGGGCACCAGAAUGGAUUUGUUCCAAGUAUUUUGCCCAGACUUCAAGGAUCAUGGAUGUACCCAGGUGGGCUGGCCAGGAUUUCUUAUUGUGGCUAUAGAGGGUGCAAAUCUUGACCUUAAUUUCCACCUUGAAAACACCAGCAAAUCUACAGUUGUUCAUUCUAGCGGUUUAAGUGUUAUUAAGGUUAUAUGGCUCAUCUCCUUGCCCCUUCCAGAUCAGAUUCACAACUUCACAGAAAUUCUCUGCACAACAGGCCUUUGAAGGAGUGUUAGAGACAGAAUCCACAUGUUAAUGCUCUCCUUCAAGGAGCUGCUGACUCUUCUGCAACCUCUGAGUUUCAGUAAUAUUUGUGAUGCAGGUUGGAUUGAGGAUUAUUUUGACCUAAAGACCAUGAAGGAAUAGAUUUUUUUUGUGCUAAGCCUGAAUGCUCUGACCUCAUCUGUUACUGCUUUUGUUUUUUUUCCAUAAUAUAAGCAUCAGUCUAACAUGCUCUUCUAAGUUACUGAGAGAAUGUUAAAAUCAUCACUGUUAAAAGGGAAAAUAACACUCUGCCCAAUCUUCAAUUAAUUUCUUAGAUAUUAAGAAUUUUAUUGCUUCCUGACUAUCAUUACAUUUCAAAGAAACUAAAUAGGAUUUACAAGUGAUCAUAUGAUACUGGCACAGGGAAACAAGAAUAAGCCCAAAAUUCUGUGUGAGAAAUCUCUGUUAGGAUACUUUACAUCAGGAUUUUUCUGAAGAUCAGAAAAGUGUUUCUGAGGUGAAUUGCCCUGCUUGCUCUCUCACUGCAGUUGUUGGCAUCAUGGAGGCACUUGGUGGUAUAAUGGAUCUGUUACUUGGCAUACAACUGAAGCUCCUUUUGGACGAGGACAGUGCAUCCUCAGCCAGCAUACCUCAGGCACCUUGGCUACUAAGAAGCAUCCAGUUCAUGGGACAAAAGUAGCUUUGGAGUUAACAGUGUCUGGAAAAUAUCAACAUCAGGACCUCAGUACCACCUGUUGAGCUCUGCUAACGCACUUCUGCUAUGCAGCAUGACCUGAUAGCUGUAAAAGCAGUGAACUGUCUCCCAGCAGUUGCUGUUAUACUUCCUGAAAAAUACACAUCUGAUUAAACUGCCAGCAGUGCUGCUCUGCGAGACAAAGAAAAUUGUUCAUAAUAAUAAUCUUAGCUUGGUUAUCUGCAUUACCUGAAAUUUGGGUCUAUAUUUCUGUGAUUCUGUGAUUUCCUAAGUCUUACUACAAGAAUUUAGGGGUCGUGAUAACUGGUUUAAGAGUAGCAAAUCCAUUAAUAUUUCAACACUUCUAUUUGUAGAAGAGGAACUCAUUUCUCACUGGGAUAAGGUAGAUUAAAUCUAGAUAAUGUGUUUGUAAAUACAGUACUAGAAAUACUGUGAAAAACAAUCCAGAAGCAC